rnacentral:rRNA from 1 species
GACGAACGCUGGCGGCGUGCUUAACGCAUGCAAGUCGAACGGAAAGGCCCUGCUUUUGUGGGGUGCUCGAGUGGCGAACGGGUGAGUAACACGUGAGUAACCUGCCCUUGACUUUGGGAUAACUUCAGGAAACUGGGGCUAAUACCGGAUAGGAGCUCCUGCUGCAUGGUGGGGGUUGGAAAGUUUCGGCGGUUGGGGAUGGACUCGCGGCUUAUCAGCUUGUUGGUGGGGUAGUGGCUUACCAAGGCUUUGACGGGUAGCCGGCCUGAGAGGGUGACCGGCCACAUGGGGACUGAGAUACGGCCCAGACUCCUACGGGAGGCAGCAGUGGGGAAUAUUGCACAAUGGGCGGAAGCCGGAUGCAGAAACGCCGCGUGCGGGAUGACGGCCUUCGGGUUGUAAACCGCUUUCGCCUGUGACGAAGCGUGAGUGACGGUAAUGGGGAAAGAAGCACCGGCUAACUACGU